GCCUCGGUAGCUCAGUUGGUCAGAGCAGCGGACUUUUAAUCCGCGGGUCCAGGGUUCGAGCCCCUGCCGGGGCACCA
rnacentral:tRNA from 1 species